UACAACAUAGUGUUAAUGCAACGGAUCCCAUUAUAACUCCACAUUUAAGUGCACUUAGGGUAGAGUAACACUGGGAUGGGUGACCUCCCAGGAAGUCCUAGUGUUUUAC
rnacentral:rRNA from 1 species